rnacentral:misc_RNA from 1 species
GAUGAAGAACGUAGCGAAAUGCGAUAAGUAAUGUGAAUUGUAGAAUUCAGUGAAUCAUCGAAUCUUUGAACGCACAUUGCGCCCCUUGGUAUUCCGAGGGGCAUGCCUGUUCGAGCGUCAUUAUAACCCCUCAAGCUCAGCUUGGUGUUGGGGCCUGCCGCACGGGCAGCCCUUAAAAUCAGUGGCGGUGCCAUCUGGCUCUAAGCGUAGUAAUUCUUCUCGCUAUAGAGUCCCGGUGGAUGCUUGCCAUUAACCCCCAAUUUUCUAUGGUUGACCUCGGAUCAGGUAGGGAUACCCGCUGAACUUAAGCAUAUCAAUAAGCGGAGGA